CAAGGGGGUCGAAUACUUUCGCAAGGCACUGUAUAUGCCCUGUAAUGCACGAGCCUGCGCUGAUGCUGUAACUAGCAAGUUGGUUGUCUCUUCUCUCUUCAGUCGCGUGCUGCAUUGUUGUUAAACUAGCAACCAACUGACCGGAGCCAGCCAAAGGCUAACCGGAGCCAGCCAAAAGCUAACCGGAGCCAGCCAAAAGCUAACCGGAGCCAGCCAAAAGCUAACCGGAGCCAACCAAAAGCUAACCGGAGCCAGCCAAAAGCUAACCGGAGCCAGCCAAAAGCUAACCGGAGCCAGCCAAAAGCUAACCGGAGCCAGCCAAAAGCUAACCGGAGCCAACCAAAAGCUAACCGGAGCCAGCCAAAAGCUAACCGGAGCCAGCCAAAAGCUAACCGCUUUUCUAACAUUUUACAGUACAACAAUUACAAAAGUUCUUAAACAUCAGUUACAGCAUUCAAUUCUCUAAACCCUUGGGAUAUUGUCAGGAGUCAUUUCCAAAAAUAAAAAUGUUCAGGAGUUAA